rnacentral:rRNA from 1 species
UACGUAGGCGGUUUAGUGUGUUAGAUGUGAAAUCCCAGAGCUCAACUUUGGAAUUGCAUUUAAAACUGCUAGACUUGAGUAUAAUAAGAGAUGGCGGAAUUUCUAGUGUAGGGGUGAAAUCCGUAGAUAUUAGAAGGAACACCAGAGGUGAAGACGGCUAUCUAGGUUAUUACUGACGCUAAGGUACGAAAGCGUGGGGAGCGAACAGGAUUAGAUACCCUGGUAGUCC